rnacentral:rRNA from 1 species
AGUGAACGCUGGCGGUAGGCCUAACACAUGCAAGUCGAACGGCAGCACAGGAGAGCUUGCUCUCUGGGUGGCGAGUGGCGGACGGGUGAGGAAUACAUCGGAAUCUACCUUUUCGUGGGGGAUAACGUAGGGAAACUUACGCUAAUACCGCAUACGACCUACGGGUGAAAGUGGGGGACCGCAAGGCCUCACGCGAUUAGAUGCGCCGAUGUCCGAUUAGCUAGUUGGCGGGGUAAUGGCCCACCAAGGCGACGAUCGGUAGCUGGUCUGAGAGGAUGAUCCGCCACACUGAAACUGGAACACGGCCCAGACUCCUACGGGAGGGAGCAGUGGGGAAUAUUGGACAAUGGGCGCAAGCCUGAUCCAGCCAUACCGCGUGGGUGAAGAAGGCCUUCGGGUUAUAAAGCCCUUUUGUUGGGAAAGAAAUCCUGUCGAUUAAUACUCGGUGGGGAUGACGGUACCCAAAGAAUAAGCACCGGCUAACUUCGUGCCAGCCGCCGCCGUAAGAC